GAAGAAUCUCCUUUCGUCGUGUUCGUACGUUGAGUGGGUUGCUCGUUCAUGACGCCAUGGCGCUCGAUGCGUCGCCUUAGUUCCAGACGACUUGUGGGGUGAGGCCAUGGGGAAGAAGUUCUCAAGUUCCGGUGACAGAUCAGGGAAAAAACCUCGGGUGAAUCCCAUUGAUUUUUAAAUAAUUUCUCGGGUGUUCGCGGCAGUUUCGCCACGUAAUGA
rnacentral:sRNA from 1 species